GAUGAAGAACGUAGCGAAAUGCGAUAAGUAAUGUGAAUUGCAGAAUUCAGUGAAUCAUCGAAUCUUUGAACGCACAUUGCGCCCGCCAGUAUUCUGGCGGGCAUGCCUGUUCGAGCGUCAUUUCAACCCUCAAGACCCCUUCGGGGGACUUGGUGUUGGGGACCGGCACAGGGGCCUGCCUGCUUGUCUUGCAGCGCCCUCGCCGCCCCCGAAAUGAAUUGGCGGCCUCGUCGCGGCCUCCCCUGCGUAGUAUCACAAACCUCGCAACGGGAACGUGACGGCGGCCACUGCCGUAAAACAACCCAAUUUUAUUAGAGUUGACCUCGAAUCAGGUAGGAAUACCCGCUGAACUUAAGCAUAUCAAUAAGCGGAGGA
rnacentral:misc_RNA from 1 species